rnacentral:misc_RNA from 1 species
UCCUCUCUCAAACCUCGCGUUUGGUGUUGGACCGCGUUGGGGCGCUCCGGCCCCCCAACUGGUCUCAAAGACAAUGACGGCGUCCGUGGGACCCUCUUCGCAUCGAGCUUCUCGGAGCACGCGUCGAGUGUCAAGGCCCCAGGGACCCGGUCUCACCUUUUAGAAAUUUUCUUCA